ACUUCCCUGGCGGAAAAGGCGUCGUAAAAGGGGUUUAAGAAAUCCCACUGGAUGCUUUCCCAGAGCCUUGGUGUUACGGCGCUCAGCUCCAAUGCACAGACUGCGCUACGAAGGCGCCCUGCGCAGGGAUUGGCUGCAGCACCCAGGGAACUCUAUAUUUGAGACCGUGAAGCCAACUUACUUCACAUUGAAACUUCCUUCUCUUUCACUUCCCUAUGAUAAAGCCUGAAGGAUAAUUCUGCCAAUAUUUUCUUCCAGCAAUAAUCAACUAUCUUACUAUCUGUAGUAAGUAGCUACUACAAAAUGUUAUGGCACAAUUGACAAUGACAUUAUACUACACAAACUUUCACCUCUGUCCUCAAGACAUUUUUACCAAAGAAGGGUUUUGAUUAUUCUGAACUCUAAGACUACUUCAAGACAAAAAGGAGGGAAGAACAUGUGCCAAGACACAGAUGUGCAGACCCAGUGCUGCCGGGAGGAUGGGGACAAGGAAGACAUCAAUGUGGUGAAUGAUGACUCAGGUUAGGGAUGGCAGGAGAGGAACUGAAAAGAAAGAUUGUGUUCUAACGAUGCAGUAAAGAAUCUGGAUCUCACCCAGUAAGCAGCAGAAAAGGCUCAAAGGACAUUUUUUCUCCAGAGACAUUAUCCAUUGGUUUUUUUAGGGAAAACAAAAUAACACCUGGUCAUGCUAUAGAGCAUUAACUGGGGAAGAGAGAAUGAGUGAGAGAAACACUGUUGCAACUAUCAGAGCAAGAGAUGAUGGGACCUAGUUUAGGGCAGUGAGAGUGUGUGCGUGGAGUGGAGGGGGCUCAUUUUGGAAAUCUUUCUGAGGCAUAGGCAAUGGUACUUAGUGUUCCACUGAUACUAUGGGUAAAGGAUGAGGGGUCAAAGUGGAGAGUGACUUCCUUAACCAAAGGAGGACAAGAAAAAGAAGCGAUGUUGCCGAAUGACAUUUACAAAAGUGUAUUUUCUAGUUGCAAGGAGUCUGAGAUACCUACGGAUUCUCCAAACAGGAUACCUAUAGACAGCUGAAAAUACAAGACUGGUUUUACACAGCAAUGUCAGAGCUGAAGAGACAGGUGAUAAUCACAGGCAUGAAUGUAUUGAAGUUACUGAGGGACUACAAAGUGAACAUAACUGGGAACAGCACCAUCAAAACGAUCAGCAUUUAAAGAGCAGGGAGUGGGAAGAGCCAAUGAUUGAAGCUGAGACUAAACUAACUGAAGAGAAAAUCAAGGCACAAUUCUUGCUAUAAUAUCCGAAGAGGGAACUUGCGGCAGACGGACUGGAGGGUGGGAUUUGCAUUCCUGUUUGGAGUCAGGAUUUCCAUGGUCUACACCUCAUGUGUUGCAUGUAGACGUUCAAGGUAUUUUUAUUGUGAUAUGUCAGCACACAGAAUUGGAAGGCAUGUCACAAGGUCAGGAGUUCGAGUUCUGUUGAUAGUCUCAGACCUCUUCCAACUUCAACAAGGUCAACAAGGUAAACCACAAACCUGGAUGAGUUCAUGUUAUUCCAGAUGCAUUAUCUCCUAAUCUUCAGGAAGAGGCUCCUUCAGCGGGAAGGAGCAUGGCAGGAUCUUCCCUGAAAAAACAGAAAUAGCCGUGUCUAAUCCCUGCUCUGCCUGGAAAGGAAAAGGCUCACCUACUUCCCAUGUCAAGGCAAGAAUCAGAAUUCCUCUCAAAUUCUUAAAACAUUGCAAAGUAAAGACAGAUACUAACUCUAAAUAUGAUUCAUGCUCAAGUUAUUAAAAAUGGAAUACAUUGUACCAGAAGGAAAAUGGUAAACAAUUUUAAAUUCCAAAGGCAAGGGAAUGUUUUUGGUUUAAUAACCAGAGUAUGGCUUCAACAGGAGCUUAUGUAGUAUACACACCAUAAUUAAAUCUAAUUCAAUCACCUGAGUAAUCAAGUGGUUAAGCGAAUAAACUAAGUAAUCAAUCGUAAAAGUGAUUUGCUGUUUAGAAGAAAGAAGUUGUAAUAUGUGUGCCAAUAUUUUUAAAGAAUAAGGAAUCUCAGGUCUUCAACUCUGUCAACAAUUAUUAGCAUUGUUUUGUUUCAGUCUUCUUAUUUACAGAGUAAAAAGACCAUUCAUUCAUUCAACAAGUAUUUAUGGAAAGCAGCAUUUUCUGAACAUGAUUCCUGCACUCAAGGUGUUUUACAAUCAUGUGGCCUGCCACUUUAUUGAAGAUGUUUUAGGGAAAACAAUUAACUUUUGACAAAGUUCAGAAUUAUUCAAACAUAACAUAAAUGGCCAAUGAAUCUUUUCAGAGAAAGCAUAGUCUAGUGGAUAAAUAUUUACACUAGUCUGCCCCUGAGUCUUACAAUUUUUCUAUGUCCAUUUUUCCUCACUCUGUAAUGGUGGGCAGACAGAAGGUGGGGCUAGCUGACCUUCAAAUUCCCUUCCAAUUUUUAUGAAAUACAAUUUUUAGUAUUAAGUGAGUAAUCACAUUGUGCAAGGUGCUUACCUGGAUAUAGCUCAGUUCUUUUUCUGAUUGCAAGAACAGAGCAAGAUGGAACCAUGAACUGCUAAACGACCCAUGGCAAUUUUUAAAGGAUUCCUCAAGCAGAUGGUUCUCUGGUAGUUCUUACAGCAGGAAAAGCCCCCUACAGUUCACAAAAGAGUCAAGUUGCAUUCUUCCAAACUGUCCUGAUUUUGCCGAUUUGCACAAUCUAAUAAAAUCUUUCCAUCAUAUUUCUCUUUUCCAUUUGUGGACCACUACUCAGUGAGUACAUUUAUUAUGUGUGGCU
rnacentral:lncRNA from 10 species